AAGGUCCUGCUCCCUUCUGAGCAAAAAGAAUCUUCUGUCAGCCACUAAGUAUGAAAACUUCAGAAAGUAGUGCAGCUGCUUUUAUUGAUGAAGGUGCUUGGAUGAAUUGAAGACAUAAAAUGGAAAAGUUCUGACUGCAUACAACUUAGUGUUGUGAUACUUUAUUCUCGAAAACUAGUGCUGUUUUGGAUAAUGGUGCAACAAUGGUAUGUGUUAAGUAAAGCUGUACUUUCCUGAAUCAGGUCUGGACAUGAAGCCAUGAGACUUAAUGCAUCAUAUACAUCAAAAAGAAAAUCUUCCCAAUCCGUCAAUAUGGUAAUCAUCACUGAAGGAUUUGCAUGUAACUUACUCAUCUGCUGUGCAAAGGAACUGGACCCGUUGUGAAAAUGCCACAGGAGAGACAACAAGAAAAAGAGGAGGAUGGAUGUACUGCUUGUAACAAGGGAUGGUGUUUGGGCCUUUCAGAGAACCUCCAAGCGUCUUCGAGACUGUUCAUUGCUGGCCAUAGAGCUUACAACCCC